GCACUGGUGGUUCAGUAGAAGAAUUUUUGCCUUCCAUGGAGGAGACUUGAGUUGGAUUCUCAGCCAAUGUA
rnacentral:tRNA from 1 species